rnacentral:lncRNA from 1 species
AACUUACAUUAUUGAUUGCUCUUUGGUUAUAUUAGUUUGCUGAUGAUUUUUGAGGACAUGAUUUCUGUUUGUUUAGCAUGAUUCCUAAUGGCUCUAAUUCUUCUCUGUUAUCCUAACUGUGAGGUCUUGAGUCUAAACACUUGAAUUUUUUUUUCUUGACUAUGUGAGUUCCACGUCUCUCCUAUUCUCUAGAACUUGCUUGAAUUCUCUUGAUUGAUUGAUUGCGAUGAAUAAUGCACCGAGGCACGUUUUUGUGAGCUUGAGCCUUUGUAGCCUACCCUNNNNNNNNNNNNNNNNGAACUAAAAGAAAAAUAUUUUGAAAAAGUUUGUGAAAAAAAAAAUGAAGAGAAUGUCCCUCAUGAAAAGAAAGGAAAUGGUGAAAGAAAUGAAAAAUAAAUAAAUAAAGAGAAUGCAAAAUGCAUAACACCUUGUUUGAAAAAAAAAAUGAAUAAAAAAAAUAAAUUUGUCGAGGGACUUCUUUGUGAAAAAAAAAAGUGAGCAUGGAAUGAGUUCACACAUUGUGAAUUCAUUUGCAUGAGGAAAAAAAAUUGUGAAAACUAAGUUCUCUAGUAUGAAUGUGAUGAUUUUUGGGAGAUCAAUUGAUUUGUCCACUUUUGUUUGAAAUAGGUGAUCUUAUAAGCUUCAAGUUUUUCUACCUAGCUUCCCAAAAAUAUCCACCCUUCAAUAAACCUAAGCCACGCUAUAACCCGAAAAGUCCUCGAAAGGUGAAUAUUCAUUGUAUGUUGAUCGAUUUUUAGAGUCCUUGCAAGCCUAUGGU